rnacentral:rRNA from 1 species
GAUGAACGCUGGCGGCGUGCCUAAUACAUGCAAGUCGAGCGAACAGAUAAGGAGCUUGCUCCUUUGACGUUAGCGGCGGACGGGUGAGUAACACGUGGGUAACCUACUUAUAAGACUGGAAUAACUCCGGGAAACCGGGGCUAAUGCCGGAUAACAUUUAGAACCGCAUGGUUCUAAAGUGAAAGAUGGUUUUGCUAUCACUUAUAGAUGGACCCGCGCCGUAUUAGCUAGUUGGUAAGGUAACGGCUUACCAAGGCAACGAUACGUAGCCGACCUGAGAGGGUGAUCGGCCACACUGGAACUGAGACACGGUCCAGACUCCUACGGGAGGCAGCAGUAGGGAAUCUUCCGCAAUGGGCGAAAGCCUGACGGAGCAACGCCGCGUGAGUGAUGAAGGUCUUCGGAUCGUAAAGCUCUGUUAUUAGGGAAGAACAAAUGUGUAAGUAACUGUGCACGUCUUGACGGUACCUAAUCAGAAAGCCACGGCUAACUACGUG